CCUACGGGUGGCUGCAGUGAGGAAUAUUGGUCAAUGGGCGCGAGCCUGAACCAGCCAAGUCGCGUGAAGGAUGACUGCCCUACGGGUUGUAAACUUCUUUUAUAAAGGAAUAAAGUGAGGCACGUGUGCCUUUUUGUAUGUACUUUAUGAAUAAGGAUCGGCUAAUUCCGUGCCAGCAGCCGCGGUAAUACGGAGGAUCCGAGCGUUAUCCGGAUUUAUUGGGUUUAAAGGGAGCGUAGAUGGGUUGUUAAGUCAGUUGUGAAAGUUUGCGGCUCAACCGUAAAAUUGCAAUUGAUACUGGCAGGCUUGAGUACAGUUGAGGUAGGCGGAAUUCGUGGUGUAGCGGUGAAAUGCUUAGAUAUCACGAAGAACACCGAUUGCGAAGGCAGCUUACUAAACUGCCACUGACGUUGAUGCUCGAAAGUGUGGGUAUCAAACAGGAUUAGAUACCCGAGUAGUC
rnacentral:rRNA from 1 species